rnacentral:rRNA from 1 species
AUUCGCGAGAAGAGGUAAAGAUAGUGGCGGACGGCUGAGUAACACGUGGGAAUCUACCUUAAAGUCAAGGAUAGCCCACCGAAAGGUGGAGUAAUACUGGAUAUGACCUGUGGGUCAAAGACGAAAGUCGCUUGAAGAUGAGCCUGCGUCCUAUCAGAUAGUUGGCAGGGUAAGAGCCUACCAAGUCAUUGACGGGUAGCUGGUCUGAGAGGAUGACCAGCCAGAAUGGGACUGAGACACGGCCCAUACUCCUACGGGAGGCAGCAAUCAGGAAUUUUGCGCAAUGGACGAAAGUCUGACGCAGCAACGCCGCGUGAAGGAUGACGGCCUUCGGGUUGUAAACUUCUUUUAUAGGGGAACAAGUUCUGAGUGUACCCUAAGAAUAAGGUACUGCAAACUACGUGCCAGAAGCAUCGGUGAUACGUAGGUACCAAACAUUAUCCGGAUUUAUUGGGCGUAAAGAGAUGCGUAGGUGUUCUAGUAAGUCCUUUGUUAAAUCUAUCGGCUCAACCGAUAAACCGCGUGAGAAACUACUAGAAUUGAGUUAGCUCGGGGAAGAUGGAAUUCUCGGUGUAGCAGUGAAAUGCGUUGAUAUCGAGAAGAACACCAAUAGCGAAGGCAAUCUUCUAGGGCUUAACUGACACUAAGGCUCGAAAGCGUGGGGAGCAAAACGGAUUAGAUACCCGUGUAGUCCACGCUGUAAACUAUCUCUGCUAGUUGUCGGGAUCUGUCUUUUGAUUUUCCUUCGGGAAGGUUUAAAGGACAAUUUCGGUGACGCAGCUAACGCGUUAAGCAGAGCGCCUGGGGAGUACGGCCGCAAGGCUAAAACUCAAAGGAAUUGACGGGGACCCGCACAAGCAGUGGAGCGCUUGGUUUAAUUCGAUCCUAAGCGAAGAACCUCACCAGGGCUUGAACUGUAGCUGCAUCCCUCCAGAAACGGAGGAGUCCUUCGAGGGUGCUACAGAGGUGCUGCAUGGCUGUCGUCAGCUCGUGUCGUGAGAUGUAGGGUUAAGUCCCGCAACGAGCGCAACCCCUAUCCGAUGUUAUAAUUUCUUCGGAAACUGCCUCGCCAAAACGAGGAGGAAGGUGGGGAUGACGUCUAGUCAUCAUAGCCCUUAUGUCCUGGGCUACACAAGCGCUACAAUGGGUAGAGCAAUGGGUUGCCAAACCGCAAGGUGGAGCUAAUCCCAAAAACCUACCCCCAGUUCAGAUUGUCGGCUGCAACUCGCCGGCAUGAAGUUGGAAUUGCUAGUAAUCGCGGAUCAGCAUGCCGCGGUGAAUACGUUCUCGGGUCUUGUACACACCGGCUGUCAAGCUACGGAAAUCGGUUUUACCCGACGGUCCCUCACCA